rnacentral:rRNA from 1 species
UACGAAGGUGUCUAGCGUUGUUCGGAAUCACUGGGCGUAAAGCGCGCGCAGGCGGACUAUCAAGUCAGGGGUGAAAGCCCGAGGCUCAACCUCGGAAUUGCCUUUGAAACUGAUAGUCUGGAGUGCAAUAGGGGAUAGCGGAAUUCCAAAUGUAGAGGUGAAAUUCGUAGAUAUUUGGAGGAACACCGGUGGCGAAGGCGGCUAUCUGGAUUGCAACUGACGCUGAGGCGCGAAAGCGUGGGGAUCAAACAGG